GUGGUUGCUCAGUGGCUAUGGUGUUAGGCUGCUGAGCAUGAGGUCGCGGGAUCGAAUCCCGGCCACGGCGGCCGCAUUUCGAUGGGGGCGAAAUGCGAAAACACCCGUGUACUUAGAUUUAGGUGCACGUUAAAGAACCCCAGGUGUCGAAAUUUCCGGAGCCCUCCACUACGGCGUGCCUCAUAAUCAGAAAGUGGUUUUGGCACGUAAAACCCCAUAA